CUCCUCCUCUUCUUCGUAUGGGUCUGACUGGAUCCUUCCGCGCGUGCGUCCGCUUCUCCUCGAACUGAAGCGUCACAGGCAGGAGGUCAACAUCCGGGUUCAGCCCCGAUGAAUUUGGGCUUGGGCGCGCUGCUGCUGCAGGGAAGGCGGUCCACCACUGCUCGUGCCUCCACAACAACCAUCUCUCCCCAUGACCUGUGCCCAAAUUGGAUCCACAACCUAGGACAUGCCCUAGCAAGGUACUGUAUAUACGUUCUUUGAUGGAUCAGCUCCGUUAGAUUGUAGAUACUGCUGAGAACAAAGUGGAAUUGAUAUUCCAAUCAAUCUAUUGAUGUGGUGUUUGUCGGAGGCGAAGAGUAGCGACGGGUUCAUUCUGAGGUCGUCUUUCUCGAGGUACAUUCAUGAGUCAGUGCGUCACUUCAGUUCACCUUACCACAAAUGCUUUGCGGGCUGCUCUCUCAUCUAAGAUUACUGCUACAACCAAACUUAGAAUCAUGCUAGGUAUGCAUAUUCGGAGUAUAAGAUUAUGAUGACAAGUUCUGAGAAUCCGAGCAUCUGAGGUGAGCUUCCCGGCGAUGGCGGCGACGCUCGUGGGCAUCGCGGCGCUCGGAGAUGCAGCAGAUCCCCACCAGGCCGUGCUGGCACUUGGGGUACUCCCCGACGACGACGGCCCAGCGGCGGAUGGUGCGAGGGAGGCCGGCCACCGCGACGAGUUCCUCUUCCUCUCUCCCCGAUCUAGCAAGAGCAGUAGGAGGCGGCGGGGAGGAUGAGCAAGGAGACAGCGGGAGGAAGAGAGAUUCUUGGCGGCGCGCUUGCCUUAUUGGACAUGUUGUGCAGCUCACUGUUUUUUCUCUUGCCAUCAUCUCCAAUAGUGUCGAGUCCCCUUCCUGGCGCCAAUUGCAACACAUAUCUCCUUUAACUGAUUAGCCAUUGUUUCCCGCAGCCGGUUUAGUUUUGUCUCGAACAUCCGUUUUCUUUGAGAUUUGUUUUUGUCGUGUGCUGAUUAUUUAGACAUCCUCUCUCUGCCACCACAACCUAUCCAAGCAAGCAACAGAUCGAGGAGGACGGAGGCACGGCAUGACGGCGACCGUGGCAUAGAUCAAGAGCAUGGCCAUGGGCUCAUGGCCUGGGAGCGAAUCAGGCAUCCUGGAUCACGACGGAAGCUGGAAGCCGCGAGAGCUGCCCGAAGAAGAGGGCGACGACAUGGGGUGGAGGCUGAGGAAGAGGGCGACGAAGCGGGGGUGGAAGAGGGUGUGUCUGUGGUUAUCGCCUUCCGAGACGACGCGACUUGAUGAUUUAGAUUCGCCUUCCGAGAUGAUGCGACGCAGCAAUUCAGAUUUCUCUCCUUCCUCGCCUCAACGACAUGCUCUGCUUCUCUAGCUUGUAGGGGUAUGAGGAGAGAGCUCUAUUGUUUGCAGCGGUUGCAUCAUUUCGACCAGUGAUAUGAUUGAUCUUUGCUAUGUGGACCAAUGGCAUGAUGUGUACCUAAGGUUGGAGGUGCUGAAUUGGAACACGCGAGAAAUCACUGAUGCGCAUGGCUGGCAGCUUUCGCACGAUGAAGUAAAAUUGGCAGGACCAAUUAGGAUGCAUACCUGAAGGAGUGAAUCUACUGGUUCGGCUGAAAAUUGAUCUCUAUUUGGUUUAUGUUUUUGCGUUUGGUUUUGCCGGCCGCUCGUCCUUGGUAUGCUCAUCCAUCUUGGCGGCUCUGCUUGCCUGCUUCUCCUUUCUAACUCAGGUUAUGCGAUCUCUUGUGUUGCUGCGUCCCGAUCUUCUGCUUUGUUGCAUCGCUAUUCUGUCAUCGAGAGGACGUGUAUGUACUUGCUGGGGUGGAAUUCAAAUUGUGAGGGAUGGUUGUGCUCAGAUUUGGUCGCUGCUGGUCGGUUCUUGACUUCAGCGCAUGAAAACCUGCAACUGCUAUCAAGCGAACCACAGGAGGGAGCAGGAGGCAUAGAAGAAAUCCCAAGCCAUUUUUGCUUAGCUGUAGCAUCUUCCACUGACAAUAAGUCUGCACAGCAGCUUGGUGAGAGUUCUAAAUUAAGACAUCGCGGUCAAUUUAUAUGGUCUUCUGAAGUUUCACCUUCCCUUUGUCAUAUUGGUUUGAUCAAAUCAAUGGGAAGCCGGAUGACUUUGAUGUACUGGCUUACAGUCUCAUUAAGUACUCCCUCUUCAAACUAAUACAAGACCUUUUAGAUCACUACUUACCUUUUAGAUCACUAAAAUAGUGAUCUAAAAGGUCUUACAUCUUAGUGCACAUUUAACUACUUUAUUUACUGUACUAUUGUGGGUGCACCGCAGAAUAAAGCAGUCCUCCAUUUUUCUUCUCUGCGGGCUAAUGUUCUUGCUCAGUAUAAGCUAACAAUGGAGAAACUGACCAAGCUAUCUUUCAUGA